UAGGGAAUCUUCGGCAAUGGACGAAAGUCUGACCGAGCAACGCCGCGUGAGUGAAGAAGGUUUUCGGAUCGUAAAACUCUGUUGUUAGAGAAGAACAAGGACGUUAGUAACUGAACGUCCCCUGACGGUAUCUAACCAGAAAGCCACGGCUAACUACGUGCCAGCAGCCGCGGUAAUACGUAGGUGGCAAGCGUUGUCCGGAUUUAUUGGGCGUUAAGCGAGCGCAGGCGGUUUCUUAAGUCUGAUGUGAAAGCCCCCGGCUCAACCGGGGAGGGUCAUUGGAAACUGGGAGACUUGAGUGCAGAAGAGGAGAGUGGAAUUCCAUGUGUAGCGGUGAAAUGCGUAGAUAUAUGGAGGAACACCAGUGGCGAAGGCGGCUCUCUGGUCUGUAACUGACGCUGAGGCUCGAAAGCGUGGGGAGCAAACAGG
rnacentral:rRNA from 1 species